UUACAUCACACCCAUCUCCCACCAUCUUCUUCACCGAAGAUCACCGUACACCACCUCCUUCACGGCAACCACUGCCGCCACUCACAACACAACCCGACGACCGGCCGAGUUUGAUUAAACAAUAUUUUUUUUCAAGUUUUCUUCUAAGUAUCACUUUCAAGUGAAGGCCCAGGUAUGAAGCUUGUGAGGUAAUUAUUUUGCAGGAUCGAUCGCUUUUCUCCAUACUCAAUCUCCAUUUGGACGAAAGUGAUUCGAAUUAUGUCAAGACAAGUGUCCAACGUUGAAUGCAGCCGCGAAUGAAAUGCUAUACGGUUGCUAUGGAACAAGGCUCAAAGGAUCCAGCCGCGUCAAAUCAGGGGAGUUUGUUCCAUUUAUCUUUGUAUUUUGUUUUAUUUAUGUAGUUGUGUCGUAAAUAGUUUUUUGCUCCAUUGAGGACAAUGAAGGAAAUAAGUGUGGGGAGGGGAGACUAGCGUCUAGUGUGUCUUAGUCGUGUCAGUUGUGUCGUAAAAAAUAAAAAAAUGAAAAAUUGAAAAAAUUGAAAAAAUAGAAAAUGUCCUCUAAAGGUUUUCGCACAAAAUGGAAAAUGAUAGGUGUAAUCAAAUCAGUGGCUUUUCGAUUAUUAUAUAUAUGAGAUAAUAAAUAAUCGGUCACGCGUCUAACUUAGGAUAUGUGGGUAAGCCCAGCCGGUUGAAAGGUUCCUUAGGCUUGAUAUAAAAUAACUUAAAAUAGGAGUCUUGUGGGUUCCCGCCUUAGGAGCUAUGGUAAAACUGAAACUGUAGAGAGUAUAAGGGGUACGUCAUAAGUAAAAAACUAAGUUUUUCCGAUUAAACUGGCACACCUGUUUCUUUUUGUGAAAACAAAUCCGAAACAGUGUGGCGCCCGAAAAAUUCCAUCCAUUCAUCUGAGCACAUGUAGUAAAAAAAAAGAAAAAAAACGUGAAGUUAUGGCAUUAACCAUGGGGAUGGAGACUCGUGUGGCGUAUGUCCGCUGAACUGAUCGUAUACAAAAGCAUGUAAAGCUCACAAUAUCAUCCAUUCAUCCAUCAUAAAGUUUAAUCGGAAUAAUAUAAGAGUUUUUUAUAUAAGGCGGUAGGUUAUAAAUCUUUUAAUCUCAUAAGCUUGAAAUGGGAUUAGGUGGAGUCGUAGUCUUUUGAGUGUGGGAUCCAUAGAUGACUAUAAAUUACUUGAACUUAAUAGAUCGAAAAUAAGGGCUUCGAAACCGGCGGUUGGGUUUAAGUAGACCGUAUAUUCACAAUCUUGGUUAACGUGUGAUGUGAUUUGUUUUAAUAAAAUAAUGAAUAUAUUGAAAGCCAUUUGUUUUGAUUGUGAUUCCAUUGCGAAUAAUUUUUUCGGGACGAAAAAAAGAUAAGUGUGGGGAUGUGAUGUCAGGUCAAAAUAAGUCGUUUUAUAUAUAUUGUGUGGUGGUUCUUAGAGUGUUUAAUAUAUUAAGUGUAAUGAUUUUUAUACUUGUAACAUGUUCAUAUUUUUGUGCUUAAACAGGUGUAACAUGUAAAUAAGGCGAAAAGAGUGUUGAAAUUGGAUCCGAAAAGUCAAUGUAGGCUGCCAACAUAAGAAUUGAAAUAUCAAUAACAUGCACAUGCAUACUUUGAGAAAAUAAAUUUAAUAUACAUGUGCACACGUUUCUUGGGCUCUAAUUGGAUGAAUGGGAAAAGUAUAUGAUUGUGGUGGGCUUUGGAAUAAGAAUAAGAAAAGGGAGGUCGGCCACAGUAACGUAGAAAGGAUCUUAUUGUGUGGUGGGCUUUGGACACGCGGGGGUUUUUCUGUUCGAGAAACUUUAUAAUGUCGGCUGGAAUUUGUAUUUAAGGAUCUUAUUUUCACAAUUUUUGGGGGGGCCGUCAUCAUCGAAUUCAAGGACGAAUUUAGUUUUUCCAUCUCAUCUUCGAAGCCAAUCCAUGAAUUCUAACCAAUCCGGGAUGACAACCGAAGCGGCAAAGACAACCAUGCACGGCUAAGCCUCUCGUGACUUCUACCCGGAUGAACUUUUGCUUGUUUUUGCAUUAAACUUUGUUUACGGAUUUCUUAUAACUGGUACAGCUUGACCACUUAUGUUGGAUUAUUGGUAAACGUUUAUUGUAUUUGAAUUACUUGUUGUUUAUUAAGCGUAUUG
rnacentral:lncRNA from 1 species